CCACCAGGGCGUAGAAGACACAGAAGACCUGGCCUGCUUCGGUGCUGGGUGCCAGGUUCCCAUACCCUGCAGGGGAGGAGUGUACAAAGGUCGGGAAGAGAGAGCUCAGAACUGCCUCCCCCUCGGACUCUAGCAGAGAUAAAACCAUCCUUGUCUCAGAAUCUGCUUUUGGGGAACUGAAACCAAGACAGGGGCUAUAGGGAAGCCAAGCCCUUCACCCGACGCUUUACCUAUGGUGGUGACAACUGUGCCUGCAAAGAAGAAACUGCUGCCGAAGUCCCAGUUGCUGGGAGUCCAGGAUGGAACAUUCUAGAACACCCCCGCUCCCUGGAGACCCUCACCCUUUGGCGCAGCACUUGCCCUGGACCUAGGCUGUCCCUCAUGACCACCGUGACAUUCUCCAUCCCGCUGUGGAGGGCCCUUGACGUCAGUGAGGCGGUACUGAGUGUGAGGCGGCAAAUGAGGACCUUCCGUUCUCUACGAAUCCACGCAUGGUGGAGAAGGUCAGACACCAGUCCUGUGAACCUGGGCACGGCCUCGUUUUUUGAUGGAGUCAGCCUCACUACUGCUUAUAGUAGUGUUUAUAGCAUUUUCCCCUUGUGAUUUGAACAAUAAUGUGUGUUCUGGAAUCUUGUCCCAGAAUUUUGCCUUUUAGCACGACAUCCCCUGGGAAGUGAGUGGCCCUCCCAAGGAGGUUGAGGACUUUAGGGAUGUCCUGGCUCCCCCGGGGAGGCCGAGGGGGUUUUUCAUGAGUGACACAUCCCUCGGGGCUGCAGUCAAGGCUGUUGACCCCCUGCUCCAUUUGCAGAGCUAGUCUGAUCCCAGCUACCAAUCCUUCCCACACUCUCUGGCUCUUGGGUUUCACCUCUAGCCCAGGGCUGAGAGAGGAGGGGCUUCCAGGCCUCUGAGGCCUCUGCCUUACUCCUCACCCGGGGUCCUCAGAAGUACCUGAAGCCUUCUCUGCCCCGAUAUGGGUGCUUUGGCCCCAGCUUGGGAACAAGGAAGUGAAGCCUGAGGCUGGAGGCCUCAUUUCCUGGAAGAAAGGGCCUGGGCAGGUCUCUCACAGCUCCAGAAAGUUCUCUCUGAUCACCUAGCUUACUCAUCUAGGCCAGCUGUCCUCCAUCUUGAGCAGGUGUCAGCAUCUCUUGGAGGGCUCGUUAACACACAGCCUGCUGGCCCCACCCUCAGAGUUCCUGACUCAGUGGGUCUGGGGUGGGACCCAUCAUUGGCAUUUCUAACGAGUUCCCAGGUGGUGCUGCUGCAGCUGGCCCAGGGGUCACACUUUGAGAACUACUGCUCUAGGCUGCACCCAGCCCCUGGCACGUAUGCUAAUUUGUGUGGUAAAGAGCAGCUGUAUAUGUGGUAAAGGUGCGAGUUCUGACUCUACCACUAACUGUGCAGCUUUGGCCAACACACUCCACCUCUCUGUGCCUCAGUUCCCUGCUACAAAUGGGAGAUAGUGAUAAUAUAGGUAAUUAUGAGAAAACACAUGUAAAUCACUAGACCCCAGACAAUGGGUCAUGACUGGCCUAAACCCAUCCUAGUGACUCUGUUCUCCGCUGUCUUAAGGCACUUUGCAAAUGCUCAAUAAACACCAAUUAUC